rnacentral:rRNA from 1 species
GACGAACGCUGGCGGCGUGCUUAACACAUGCAAGUCGAACGGAAAGGCCCCUUUGGGGGUACUCGAGUGGCGAACGGGUGAGUAACACGUGAGUAACCUGCCCUUGACUUCGGGAUAACUUCAGGAAACUGGGGCUAAUACCGGAUAGGAAUCCUUGCUGCAUGGUGGGGGUUGGAAAGCUUCGGCGGUUUUGGAUGGACUCGCGGCUUAUCAGCUUGUUGGUGGGGUAGUGGCUUACCAAGGCUUUGACGGGUAGCCGGCCUGAGAGGGCGACCGGCCACAUUGGGACUGAGAUACGGCCCAGACGCCGACGGGAGGCAGCAGGGGGGAAUAUUGCACAAUGGGCGGAAGCCGGAUGCAGCAACGCCGCGGGCGGGAGGACGGCCUUCGGGUUGGAAACCGCUUUCAGCAGGGGCGAAGCUUGUGGUGACGGUACCUGCAGAAGAAGCACCGGCUAACUACGUG